rnacentral:rRNA from 1 species
CUAAGAACAUUCCGCAAUGGACGAAAGUCUGACGGAGCGACGCCGCGUGGAUGAAGAAGGCCGCAAGGUUGUAAAAUCCUUUUGCUGGGGAAGAAUAAGCGCAGGAGGGAAUGCCUGCGUGAUGACAUGAACCGGCGAAUAAGCCCCGGCCAACUACGUGCCAGCAGCCGCGGUAACACGUAGGGGGCAAGCGUUGUUCGGAAUUACUGGGCGUAAAGGGCAUGUAGGCGGUUUAGUAAGCUUGGCGUGAAAGACCACGGCUUAACUGUGGGGUUGCGUUGAGAACUGCUGAACUUGAGUUACGGAGAGGGAGCUAGAAUUCCUGGUGUAGGGGUGGAAUCUGUAGAGAUCAGGAAGAAUACCGAUGGCGAAGGCCAGCUUUUGGCCGAUAACUGACGCUGGGGUGCGAGACUGUGGGGUUCGCAGA